GUGAAUAAUUCUUUAAUAUAUGUUAUAUUAUUAUGAGUUUUUCCUGGUCUAAUAUGGCUGCGUCCCAGGUUUGCUCUCUAAAACAUUAAUCACCCCACUUGGAGUCCAGGUUGUGAGCACGCUUUGCUCUGUGCUCUAUGCGCAGGGCAGCUUGGCUGGGCAAUCAGAGUCCGAGUGCAGUGAAGAGGGCAUUUUUAAGACAUCUAAGGAAAAGAUUGCUUUUCUUAAUGCCAGAUUUCUGUACUGCAGACAUUAGCCAUGCAAGGAAGAUGUAAAAUCAAACAAACAAAAAGAAUUGAAAGAAAGAAACCAUAAGGAUGGGUACCAAGGCUUAGUGAUUCAUAAUACAGAAAUAGCAGUGGUCGCAGACAAAAGGCGUGGACCUACACGUACACACACCCAUGAAGAGAGAACAGACCUGGUUUAAUAACAACUAAAAGGCAAAGAGACAAUGAUGACAACCUGGGAAGAAAUCCAGAUAGCCAUCUGCAGAGAUAAAUAAACAACGGUACCUUGCAUAAGGGCACUCACCGCAGGCAUUAGUAACAACGAAGGAGCAAUUUUCAGAGGAUUUGAGGAUUGUCUUAGUGACUCUCUUCAGCAGCCCUGCCAGGCUCCUUGUGUGCUUUCCGCUCUGUUUCUCCCCCACUACAUGGGGCCAGAGCCCUCUGAACCUCGCAUGAUGGAAUUCAGGUCACCAUGCAGAAAAUACUGAGCACAGGAAAACAAACCCCAGGAGGCACAGUCUUACACCGGAAGGUAGGAUUAGGAGCAGCCAGCAAGGACAGCAGGCGAGUUCAACCGGAUGCAUGAUCAUUUCCUGUUCUUAAAAUUCCCUUUAAGAUCCCCAGGCGGGCCAGCGAGUGGGUGCGUGCAGCAUUGAAGUCCAUCUGGGAAUGUCCUCAGCAUUCGGCCACGAGCAGCUCUGUGCUACCCUCACUCCGUCCCCCGGCUGAGGCGCGGUGCUGUUGUAAGAGCACCACGGCGUCACGGCCAGUUGCUCAGGGCUCCGGGCUCCCAAUACACGUAUGUCACGACAGGGACACUCACUGAAGUGAUCAUCGGGAGCCUUCCCGAAGGGGAGGAGUAAAAGGCAAACAGUAGGGUAGAACGCAGGGGGAGGGAAGUCCCAGCCUUGUGUCUCCGGGCAUCUGGCGUGGUUGGGAGUAUUAGUCAGCAAGGUUCUUUUAAACCUUCUCCCAGCCCACAUGGCAGAGAUAAACGAGAGGUGGGCAGGUUCUGCCCAACCCUGUCUGGGCGGCCUGCCCUGGGCCUGGAUGCCUUGUCCCCUGGGGACAGGGAUGCCUCACCGGGUGGGGCCCCGUGAGUGUCCUCCGCUAGUGCAGAAGUGGACCAUGGGCUGCCUCACUGGAAUUAACCGACCGGCUGCUCCAGCUCUGGGGGGAAACCGUAUUUCAUCGCCAAUUCACACACAAGGGACCUGAGGCUUAGCGAGCUCUGACUUCUGGGAGUUACAGCAGGAUCCCAGAGCCCACGGUUCCUGGCUUUAGGCCCACAGGCUUCCUGGCUCAGUGUUCCCAGGCAUCAGUGGAGACAGGUGCAGGCGAAUUCCACGGUCCUGCCGAUGGGCUCCUCGGCACAGCCCCACCCUCCCGCAGAAGGGCCAGGUGUUUAGCAGAAUGAUUCCUGCCUGUCAGUGAAGACUUGUUUCAAAACUGUUUUUGUCUUCUUUAUCCUGCUGAACUGUGUACAAAAGAGUAGAGAGAACAACACGGUGAAGUGCUCCGCUCCUAGAGCUGCCAGACUCAGCAAAGAAAUAAGCAAGACAGCCGGCUACAUUUGAAUUUCAGAUAAACAACAGCUGACUUUUUAGUACCAGUAUUAUAUUGCCUGGGACAUACUCCUACCCGGACGUCCCUGUUUCCCUGGCCGUCCUGUUUUUCCCCUCACCAGCUGUAACAGGUUUCUGCUCUCAGGUGUUCUGUCCCCUCCUCCAACUCCUUCCCCAGUCCCGGCUUACCUUAGAGCCAAUCUCAGACCUCCUAGC